AUAAAAGCCAACAUUGUGUCCAGAUUCCUGUAAGCUCUGCUUGCUUCAGUGACAGUUUACAAGUGCAGUUAAUGAGUUAAUGUGAAGAUACAAACUCUUAUUGAAAGGGAAUGACUAUAUUACAUGAAGAAGAAAAAAAUAAGUCAUGAAGUCUUCAGAAGCCUCAUGGGCCAAAAGCAGAGAAAGGGAGAGAAAAUACAAUAUCCACAUGCCUGCAAGAAAUACAAUGGAUACUUCAGAAAAGAAAAAGACAUCCAAGCUGCCUUAGUAAAUUUGGAUUGCAAACUCACUUGGUGGAGCAAUUUGAACCAGGGAUAUCAUGAAUGCUCAGGAUCCCACACACCAAUCUGAGUUGCUGGCUUGGACCUUUUCAGACGUGAGAGAGCUGACCUUGUUUUAUUAUAGACACUGUUACAUGCAGUAACUCUUGAACUACCAAGUAAAUGAUGACAGGACAUAGAGGGACUGUGUACAAAAUGUCAUUGGUCAUCUAUACACCUUGAGCUGUAUUGUGUGUUGAUAAUAAAUUUGACACCACCAUUGGGGGAAAUACUGAAUACUGAAGUCCUGUUCAAAGGAACCAUCUUCUCUUUCUUUCUUAAAAAGGUGUAUUCUUCCUAAGAAAAAAUAAUUUAAAAAAAUAAUUAAAAAAAAAAUGAUAUUCUGUACAAAAUACACCUUAGCACCUUAGGCAUUGCAAGGAUCACCAACCAAUGUGCUGAGGAAUAGCAUAGCAACCGUCACCAGGGAGAAUGUCAAAACUCUGAGACAUGCAGGCAGGAGGAAAAAAAAAAAAAAAACGAAAGCAGGCAAUGAAGGUAAGUUCCAGCUUCCUUUAAAUCUCCAAGAAAUGGUUUAAUUCCCAUACAGUUCAACUGCACUGAAUCUAACAACAGCAACAACAACAAAGGAAACUGUGUGUAUAUAUAAAACACACAAAGUAAUCUAUGCUAUUUUUCAGAGGGAAGAUGCAAACUUUGCAAACAGAGAAGGUGAAAACAUGGAUUUUGGUAGUACAACUCAGAACACAAUCUAGUUGUAUUCAAUAACGCAUUUCUUUAGGGUAAAGUCCUGUAUUAUAGAUCCUGGUUUUGCAUGCUAGUUUUUCAAACGAAUAACAAGAGGCAUUGGUCCCUCACUAGGGACUACAAAGCCCAAUGCCUUUGUUGCUUAUUGUCACAUACUGCAGGGUGAUUUUGCCAAAACACUCAUAGCAUCUGGUGUUCUCCUUUCAGUCCUUGCUUGGGGGAUAAUGUGAGAAAUCUCAGAUGUUACUUUUAAAAUUAUUUUUAAACAAAUACCAAAUCUUUGAUGUAGCAGCAUCGAAAUGGAGAAACUGGCCUACAUGCCCUGCACAGAUAUAAAAAUGCAAGGACAUAUAUCAACUGCUUAACUACAUAACCAGUUUUCUUCUAGCUUUUCAUUCCUUUUAUGCUUUAUUUAUUUAUUUAGCUGCCCUGAAGAUUUUUUAGCCUAACUUCUCUCCUAUCCCUCUCCAAUCCAUUAAUAAUUCUGUAGUUUUGACUCACUUCUGAAAACUGGAAGAUAGGACUUGGCAUCUUGUUAGACCAGAAAGGAUCUUACAUGGAUGUCUUCAUCAUAGAAACAAAGUUCUUGCUCAUAAUCCAAGAAUAACUCUUUAAAAUCAUGACUUUUAGUUGUUCUGUUUUGGAUGAGGAUAUGGGACUUACUGUUCUCAGUAGAUCCUGAUGAUCAGCAUGAAGUCAUGAUUUGUAAAAGCUCUAGGGAACCUCCUUUAGCAGAGGGAUUGGUCUUGAUGAUUCCCAAGGGUCCUUUCCAACAAUCCAUUGUUGUGAUUCUGUGAUUUUCUUUUUCAUUAAUCCGUGUCUUAUAAUUAUUUCCUUCUGUCUUGAAUCAUUGUCUAUGGAACUUUGAUGCUGUUAUCUAACUACAUUAAAAAUCUUGAGGUAAAGUGCUCAUGACAGAGAAGAUCUGUUAGGAACCACUGGGAAAAUAUUUAUUUAUUUAUUUAUUUAUUUAUUUAUUUAUUUAAAUUUAAAAUUGGCUGUUGAUCUCCUGGAAACAGUGUCCUUUUGAAAAGUAAUUCUAGAACUACAAGGAGGAUUAGGAAAAAAAAAAACACAGAAAUUUCUGGAAAAACUUCUGUGAAUAGGCACAAAAACAUAUUUGGAUUUAAACUAUACUUAGUUAAAAAGAAACAGAAAAGUACCAGGAGGUUUCUUGAGAGAAUAUCUCCUAAUAGAGCAAAUAAUAUUGUAAAAAUUUGUCAUAGUCCAGUUCUGUAUUUUUUUCCUUCUCUAAUAAAAAUAAAAUAAAAUAAAAUUUUUGCAUCUUACAGACACAUAGAAUGCACAGUAUGAAUAGUUCAGUUUACCAGAGCUUAUCUUCUAUGUGUGAGUUUGCUGGUUCAUUAAUAUUUUCUAAAUCAUGAGGUUUUGUCCAUAUUAGGACAGAGAACACCUGUAAAAAGCAUAUUAAAAAAAAUGAUAACAUGUGGUUCUUAUCAAUUACUAAAUGUAUUAUCUUUAUUUGUUUGUUUUAAAAUAAAAAUAUGGAUUACAGUAGCAAGCAUAUUAUCAAGCAAGCAAUCCUGCUGUGCUUCAGUUGUUUGAUAUUAUGCAAGUUGGAGUAAAUUUUUGCUCUUCUGUUACAGUUCUGAUGCAUGAGGAAGCCAAAAGAAAAUAUGUUUGCACCCGACCAUGCAGCAUCUGAUCUGUAUGGGUAAUUUGCUGUAACUGGGAAUCAAUGACACAAAUUCUGUGACUCUAUCUAAUAAGAGAUUCAAUAAUUUUACAGCCAUUAGCACAGCAAACUAAGUCUGUAAGGAUGAUGAUCAAAAAUCACACUUUAGGGCAUAAACUAAUUGCCCAGUAAGCCAGGAAAUUAUAUGUUUCUCCUGUGUUGCACAAACAGUCAGAUGUCCUAUAAGUUUUCACCUUUUUUUUCCAAAAAACAAGAGAAAGUGAAAUACUGAAUGAGGCUUCAUUGCUUGGAUGUAGAAAUGAAGAAAUCCAGAAUUGUAAGUUGAGAAAUAAAUGUUACAUUAAUGUAGACCUCAUUUUCCUGGGUAAGUUCAUUAUUUAAUAUAUAAUAUCUUUCCACUGUAUCAUAAUUCGUACAUAAUAUGAAUGAGAGCUGUGCCAGAAAGAAAUUAAAAGACAUAAGAGUUGACGAAUAAUAGGUUGUAGGCUGUGGGUUUCGGGGUUGUAGCCUGACAGAAAUUUAACCACACAAGGUGCUCUUUUUCCCCUCACUGCCCUCAGUGAUUAAAAUUAGCAAUGACAAUCCGGCCCCAGCUUUUCAGGUUGAAGCUAUUGUCAUGGUCUUGAAUGAUCCCCAUCUCUGCAUAAAAAUGUAUAUUAGUGUUUGUAUCCUGCUUUUUUUUUUUCUUUUUUCCCCCUCUUAAAAAGCACAGAAAGAACAAGAGAGGAGAAAGUAUCUCUCAUUGCUAGCAUGCUUCUACUUCGUUGUUUGCCUACAGGGCUGCCCUGAACCCUUGCUCCCAUUCCAUCAUAAUACAGGCAGCAAUCAUUUUUCCUUCAAAGGACGAAGUUUGGCCACUUACAGAGAAAAAAAGAAAAAGGAAAAAGAAGAUGAAAAAAAAAGGAAAAAAAAAAAAAAAAAAAGGAAAAGAUACAUCUCUCUUAGCUCCUAAAGACUAGACCAGGAAAAACCACCAUUUGGUGAAGCUUUGCAAGGACAAAUUUAAGUAGUCGUUAUCAGGAGCUGGGAGGGGCAGGGAGAGAAAGGUCAGGUCUAUACAUAGCCUAAGCAUUUGCUACUUGCUGUUGCCAGGCAAAGGUUACCCAGCUAAAUGAACCUUAUGUCUAACCCCAUGUGGUAUUUUUUGUGUUCUUAUCUGAACUUCUGUCAUGCUGAGCAGAGCAGCUCGCACCUGACAUUUUUUCCUUUAUGGCCUUUUAAGCUACUAAGUCUGAUUAGUAUAGCAUCCUUAGGGAGUGGGAAGACACAGGGCAGGGGGGAAAGGUGGCAGGUAUUUUAAGGCAGGAAAAGGAUCUCCCUCCCACCUAGAUUUUCAGCCAUCCACAUAGCUGCUUCUGUCCUUCCUUCCCCUUAGUGACUAUAAUCGGAGGUGGCGCUGACUCUCAGUCCUCAGGAUCAACAAUUUUUGGUCAAAUUUGUCCAUGAAAAAUACUCUCUUUGUUAAUGAAGAAUUUAAAUCUAAGAUUUUAAUCACACAUCAGGACGCUCAAAGUUAAGGUUGCCACAGCAACCUUACAAUAAGGCUUUGUGCAAUGCAGUUAGUGAAACACACAUUUCAGUUAAAAAUUGUCUCAUUUAUCUGACAGCUUUUUAUCUCCCCCCAGAUUCUGUUCUCUCUGAAUUGUCAUCCAAAUGAGGGGAAGGACAAGAGCCAUGCUGGCAGAGUUCCCUUUUAGAUCCUGAAAGACCUUUCUCAGGUCACCUCACAGCCUUCUCUUCUCCAGGCUGAACAGCCCCAGCUCUUUCAGCCUGUACUCAUGGGGAAGGUGUUCCAUCUCUUGGAUGAUUUUUGUGGCCCUCCUUUGGAUGCACUCCACAGGUCCAUGUCUCUCCUGUACUGAGGACACCACAUCUGAACACAGUACUCCAGCAUCUUCCUGCCUGCACGGUACCCGACAACUUUGGGUGAAUUGCUGGUGUCUGAUGCUAGCAAUUGUAAGUUAGCACCUGGCUCAGUCCUGCUGUUGUUAGACCAGCAAAACUUGAAAAAGAAAACAGCUUUUGUGCUGGAUGUAGAAGUGAAAUAACCAUUUACAAUUCAGAAAAACAGAUGACAAGGUCAGAAACAUGAAGACAAGGAUAAAAGACCAACUCUGAUCUGAUGAGCCAUUGGAGUCUUCAAUAUAAAUUCACUUAGACACCAGCAGAGCUUUAAGCAGAGUUGAAUUUUCAUGCUGGAAAGAUGGAUGUUUUUAUAAAGCUUCCUCGCUCCCAUUUAAUGGGAGAGGAAUUUUAGUUUCAGCACAUGAUUAAACAUGAUGAAAAGAAAUAUUGUUUGAGCCAAUAGUAAUCAAGUGUUUGUUCCAUGAUUUUCAUUGUUAAUUUUUACUGUUCUGAUCAGUAAUGCGUUUUUCUUCUCUCAGAAGGCAAGGUAUAGCACUUUAAUGGCUGUCAGUCAUCUCACAUUGUAAGCUACAAGCACUUUAGGAAUUACUGAACCAAUGUUUGGCAGAGGCUAACAAAAUCACAUCCAUGCAGUGUGAAUAAUCUGAUUCAUGUAUCUUCAUUCAAUAUUUUUAACAAUGCAGGCCAAAAAAAAAAAAAAAAAGGGCAGCUUUCUCUCUUCUUAAUUCAUAUUGUACUGAAGUGUUUGAAGCAGAAAACCAGCUAAUGGCUAAUGAUCAAGUUUCUGACUUCUCAAGAGAUACGCUACCUGCAGGUAUGUGCGUAAAUCCCACCUGGUCCUCCAACAUGCUCUCAGGUGUCCCUUACCUGUACAGCUCUUAGCAACUCAGAAGGGACUGAGUGCUGACAAUCUGCAGAAUAUCAUCAGUUUUUACUGCAAGCACUGGGAGCUCAUGGAGCUCUGCAUCUUUCCAGAUUCAAUUCUGAAGGUGCCAGUAGUUUUAUAAUUCAAUCCACCAAGAAACAUACUGAAAAACCAUUUCAUACAGAUCAACACACAGACUAGGCAGCAAUAUCUCUCCCUCAUAGCAAGGCAGCAGCCUGGAUGCCAAAGUCUCUCUAAUGUAUGUUUUUUCACAAGCUGUCAUAAUGCUGUUUCUGGGUAUUUAUUCCCUUUUGAAUUAUCCAGGAGAAUAAGAAUUGGAUAGGUAGGUAAUCCUCAAACAUUUUCUUAGUUAAGUUUGCACUGAGGAAAAAGAUCUGUACUAACUCAAUUCAUUCUGAGUGAAACCCAGACAAGACAUUAUUAACUAAAUCUUUGAAAUAUUUUUAUUAAGUGCUCUUCUAAAUAUAACAAAGAUUUAGACAACUAACCAUUAUCAAUCACCUAGGUUUCCCCAAAAUUGCGUAGUGAUCGGUAUAACUAAGGCAAAGAUACAUCUCCUUCUUUUGACUGUAGAGACGGCCCAGAAAGCUAGUGUAGGCUAAUAAUAAAGCACCUAAUCACAGUACAAAUUAUUCUGUAUUUUCAUCACACUUUUUUUUUUUCAGCACAUGUUCAAAAACAAUACAGUGGAAUAAUAACAUCUAGGAGUUGACUUAACAUUAGCAAUAAGGAUUAGACCCAAUGAUGAGACCCAAUGAGGAUAAUCAGACUUCCCAGGAAUUCACUAAAGAAGUUUGCUUCAGAAAACAGCACAGUUUGAGCCAUGACUUCAGAAAUACAAUAACAAAUAUAAAAUAUUUCAUACAAUUUACUUUGAGAUGGGUGAAACUAAGGGAUGAAGAGAUGAUUGUGUGUUGCUGAAAUGCCUGACAAUAGAGUUUGACAACUUCCUGAACGUAUAGAUUAAUGUUUAGCUAGGCAAAGCAGUAUAAACAGGAGUGAUUAGAAAAUCAAAUGAAAGUAAAACACACAAAUAGUUGAACAUCAUAUUUCCUACGCUUUCCAAUAUGUUUCCUCUCAGUCUGAAACAAUUUUUUCUGAAAAAUAUCUGGUAAAAAAUUCCUUGAGCCUAGUUGUUAUUUCUAACAGCUACUUUAUAUGAAUGUCAUAAACUCAGCAGGCUUGAUCUUAGGAAUAAAGACGCCAUCCUUUUAUAAUGUUUUUGUUACAAAUUACGGAUGACACCUUUAAAAAAGAGCUUAAGACUGAUGUAUGCCUACUGCUACUCUGCCUAUUGCUCUUUGCUGAGAAAUAAAUUUUACCUUUAAGUGUGAAGUUAGUGAUGAUCUCUUACCAGAGAUUUCAACUAAUUCUGAAUUCAUUCAGGCGUUAUACCAUUUGAAAGUCUCUCUUAAAUGCUGGUAUUUUUGGAAAAGCUUAGAUAAAGAGAGGAGGAGGGUGUAAGCAGAACUCAGUACAAAGAGAAGGAAAAAUAUAGCAGUAUGAAAACUAAAGCUAAAAUAAAGAGAAAAGAGGAGAGAAGCUAUGGAGUGAUUAUUAUUUUAGUAAGAAGGACUACCAUGAUCAAAUCUUCAACCUGUAUGUAAUGACAGAUCAAGCUAACACCAUCACAGAACAGUGAGUGGCAGAAAGAGUCCUCUGGCAGAUGGAACUCAAAGUAGGAUGCGAUUUUCACAGACCUCUACUGUGACUGGGACAAGCCUUUCUCCACUGUAAUUCUGUGAAAGGGAAAUGAAAGUUUUCACUUUCAAGAGCUGUUGAAAAAAAAAAAAAUCAGUAAUUCUUUAUGACAUCUUCAGAUGUAAAAGUGUAUAAUCAUUUAAAUACAGAAUAACUUAUAUCAAACAGCAGAAAAGCUAGUCUGUAAUCUUUCCUGCACCCUGGUUCUCUUUUUGUUAUAUUAUUUGUCAUAUAACGGAGAACAACCAGUGUAUAUAGACUGUAUUGCGUUUCUAGCAAAUUCGUCUGAGCUAAAGCAAAAUAAAAAU
ensembl:lncRNA